rnacentral:snRNA from 1 species
GGAUGUGAAGGCGAUCUGGCUGCGAUAUCUGUCACCCCAUUGAGCGCCAGGGUUGAUUCGGCUGAUCUGCCUGGCUAGGCGGGUGUCCCCUUCCUCCCUCAACGCUCCAUGUGCAUCCCUCCCGAAGCCGCACGCUUGGUCGAAUAGGACGACCACCCCCGAUAGAGGAGGACCGUUCCUCGGGCAAGGGUGUACGAGUAGCUGCGCUCCCCUGCUAGAACCUCCAAACAAGCUCUCAAGAAAUGAGAAAUGUAUGAUAAAGCAUAUAAUGAGAGGUUAAGUAUCUGCCAGAGUAC